GAACCGUCCAAACGUUAUUCGGAAUCACUGGGCUUAAAGGGUGCGUAGGCGGCGCGGAAAGUUGGGUGUGAAAUCCCUCGGCUCAACCGAGGAACUGCGCCCAAAACUACCGUGCUCGAGGGAGAUAGAGGUGAGCGGAACUUAGGGUGGAGCGGUGAAAUGCGUUGAUAUCCUAAGGAACACCGGUGGCGAAAGCGGCUCACUGGAUCUCUUCUGACGCUGAGGCACGAAAGCUAGGGUAGCGAACGGGAUUAGAUACCCCGGUAGUCCUAGCCGUAAACGAUGAGCACUGGAUUGAAGGGUCCUCCAUAGCCUUUCAGUCGCAACGAAAGCGUUAAGUGCUCCGCCUGGGGAGUAUGGUCGCAAGGCUGAA
rnacentral:rRNA from 1 species